GGCCAGUUAGCUCAGUCAGUUGAGCGUGAUGCUAACAACGCCAAGGUUGUGGGUUCAAUUCCCAUUUGGUCC
rnacentral:tRNA from 1 species